AUUGAACGCUGGCGGCAGGCUUAACACAUGCAAGUCGAGCGGAGAUGAGGUGCUUGCACCUUAUCUUAGCGGCGGACGGGUGAGUAAUGCUUAGGAAUCUGCCUAUUAGUGGGGGACAACAUUCCGAAAGGAAUGCUAAUACCGCAUACGCCCUACGGGGGAAAGCAGGGGAUCUUCGGCCCUUGCGCUAAUAGAUGAGCCUAAGGCGGAUUAGCUAGUUGGUGGGGUAAAGGCCUACCAAGGCGACGAUCUGUAGCGGGUCUGAGAGGAUGAUCCGCCACACUGGGACUGAGACACGGCCCAGACUCCUACGGGAGGCAGCAGUGGGGAAUAUUGGACAAUGGGCGGAAGCCUGAUCCAGCCAUGCCGCGUGUGUGAAGAAGGCCUUUUGGUUGUAAAGCACUUUAAGCGAGGAGGAGGCUACCUGGAUUAAUACUCUAGGAUAGUGGACGUUACUCGCAGAAUAAGCACCGGCUAACUCUGUGCCAGCAGCCGCCGUAAUAC
rnacentral:rRNA from 1 species